GUUCUCACUUUGGCAGCAUAUAUACGAAAAUUGAAACAAUACAGAGAAGAUUAGCAUGGCCCCUGCACAAGAAUGAUAUGCAAAUUUGCAAAGCAUUCCAUAUUUUU
ensembl:snRNA U6 U6 spliceosomal RNA